rnacentral:rRNA from 1 species
UACGUAGGGUGCAAGCGUUAAUCGGAAUUACUGGGCGUAAAGCGUGCGCAGGCGGUUGUGCAAGUCAGAUGUGAAAUCCCCGGGCUUAACCUGGGAAUUGCAUUUGUGACUGCACGGCUAGAGUGUGGCAGAGGGGGGUAGAAUUCCACGUGUAGCAGUGAAAUGCGUAGAUAUGUGGAGGAAUACCGAUGGCGAAGGCAGCCCCCUGGGAUAACACUGACGCUCAUGCACGAAAGCGAGGGGAGCGAACGGG